rnacentral:rRNA from 1 species
AUUGAACGCUGGCGGCAGGCCUAACACAUGCAAGUCGAGCGGAUGAAGGGAGCUUGCUCCUGGAUUCAGCGGCGGACGGGUGAGUAAUGCCUAGGAAUCUGCCUGGUAGUGGGGGAUAACGUCCGGAAACGGGCGCUAAUACCGCAUACGUCCUGAGGGAGAAAGUGGGGGAUCUUCGGACCUCACGCUAUCAGAUGAGCCUAGGUCGGAUUAGCUAGUUGGUGGGGUAAAGGCCUACCAAGGCGACGAUCCGUAACUGGUCUGAGAGGAUGAUCAGUCACACUGGAACUGAGACACGGUCCAGACUCCUACGGGAGGCAGCAGUGGGGAAUAUUGGACAAUGGGCGAAAGCCUGAUCCAGCCAUGCCGCGUGUGUGAAGAAGGUCUUCGGAUUGUAAAGCACUUUAAGUUGGGAGGAAGGGCAGUAAGUUAAUUCCUUGCUGUUUUGACGUUACCAACAGAAUAAGCACCGGCUAACUUCGUG